rnacentral:SRP_RNA from 1 species
GUCGAUGUGGCCGCGUGCGCCUGUAAUCUAGCUACUUGGGGGCCGGGUGGCCAAAUUUCGCGGGGAUGGGAGUCCUGGUGCUGAAUCACGCAAGUUUAUCUGGCCUCCAUGCUAAGCAAGGCGCCAAUAUGGAUGGUCAGUCGGAAGUCAGGCUGUCCAGACUGUCUAAGGAGGGUGAAUUAGCCCAGGGGGAUGCCCAGCACGCAAAUGUCCCCGCAUGGUGCGGUAGCUGGAUAGUGCCUGUGAAUUGCGAGUCAGUGGCAACCCGGCUGGCUCAGGAAGAGCGUCCUCACUC